GGACUACUGGGGUAUCUAAUCCUGUUCGCUCCCCACGCUUUCGCGCCUCAGCGUCAGUAUUACACCAGGUGGCUGCCUUCGCCAUCGACGUUCCUUCCGAUCUCUACGCAUUUCACCGCUACACCGGAAAUUCCGCCACCCUCUCAUAUACUCCAGUCGCACGGUUUGCAGUGCACUUCCCAGGUUGAGCCCGGGGCUUUCACACCACACCCUCGCCACCGCCUACGCGCCCUUUACGCCCAGUAACUCCGAUUAACGCUCGCACCCUCUGUAUUACCGCGGCUGCUGGCAC
rnacentral:rRNA from 1 species